UUAAUCGAAGCCAAAAAGAGGCAUUUCACCGUUAAUGAUAAAACUGGGUUCAGACCCCGAUUAAG
rnacentral:tRNA from 1 species